rnacentral:lncRNA from 1 species
UUUAUAACCACAACCGUGUGUAUGCUAGUUUGUAGUAAACUUACUUUUUUCUGUUACAUUAAAGAAUUCGUUAAUGAUAUAUCAAUUAGUCUUGUAAUUAUGCAAUUUAUUACAAUAUUCUAUCUCAGGACCACCCACUCUAUCAGUAUAUGGAGUAUCGUGCUUGGCCCCAAGCUGAUAACUUUUUAUGAUGUAUUUAAAAAAUUAUUUUAUAUGAAUUAUAUUUUUUCAUAUUUGUGCAUUGUGAUGCCAUUAUCCUACUCUCCCAUAUGUCACAACCAUUACAAAAACCAAAACUUUACUUCUCCUAAAAGUGUGAUGUCGUUUACCCUUACGUAACCUUCAUCACUAACUUACCCAAAACCACCUAUUAAUUACAUUUUUUUUACAACAGGAGGAAACAGGGUCCAUGGCUGACAACACUGAUUUUAUGGACAGACAGAUGACAAAUAUAACAGAUAUACUACAGCAAAGCAUUUUUGUGGUUCCAACACCUGUCUCAUCAGACUGUGUCAGUGACAUUUUAGCAGCUGACUGCUUAGACUUGUAUAAUCUAGAUAGUGGAGCACUUGUGUCUCCAUCGACCAACUGUAUAAACGAAAUUAUUCCAUUAAAAAAUUCUCAAAUAUUUUGGUCAGUAGUAACAGUGUCACCUCUAACGUAAUACUUAAUCAUGAAACUGGACUAUUUGAAGCUGUAAACUAUGAUGUAGAUAAUACAGAGAAUGAUGAUAAUGAAAUAAAUAACGAACUGCUUAGUAUCGAUAAUAGACGAAAACUCAAUCAAAGAUUACGGUUAUUAGGUAAAGAGUACAAAGGAAUCAAGAAGAUAGAUGAUGCGAUAACUCUUGUAAAAAAACCGCACAGAAAACUUACAAGGAGAGGGCGCGAGGGCCGGAGGGCGGAUUGGAGCGGGGCUUAUUUCUGUAAUGGCUCUUGAUUGGUGGUGAAGCACAGUGAAGGAUUGGAGGCCG